rnacentral:rRNA from 1 species
GGUAAUCCUAGACCCUGCUAAGUAAGCAUAAUCGGAUGCCCUUUAAAUGGGGGAGUGUUGAAUGGACAAACGAAGGUAUAACUGUCUUAAAUGAAAGUAAAUUGAAUUAGGAAUAAUAGUGAAGAUACUAUUAAAAAUAGUAGGACGAAAAGACCCUAUGAAGCUUAACUAUAAAUUCAUCAGACAAGAGGUUAUAUUAGGUUAAUAUUAAUAGUGAAAGCAGUUUGUAUGCUUCACCUCAGUCAUAGUGGUUAAUUUGGUAGUUUUGGUGGGGUGCCAGCAUGGUAAAAAUAACCUAGAGUUCACAUAUGUAAAAUAUAAUUUACUGGUGUAGAAAACUAUCUUACACAGUUACAAAAGUAGGUAAAAUGACCCUACCCGUUAAAAUUUAUUUAUGGGUAGACAAAGAAUAAAAGCUACUCUAGGGAUAACAGG